rnacentral:rRNA from 1 species
GCUGGUUCUCCCCGAAAGCUAUUUAGGUAGCGCCUCGUGAAUUCAUCUCCGGGGGUAGAGCACUGUUUCGGCUAGGGGGCCAUCCCGGCUUACCAACCCGAUGCAAACUGCGAAUACCGGAGAAUGUUAUCACGGGAGACACACGGCGGGUGCUAACGUCCGUCGUGAAGAGGGAAACAACCCAGACCGCCAGCUAAGGUCCCAAAGUCAUGGUUAAGUGGGAAACGAUGUGGGAAGGCCCAGACAGCCAGGAUGUUGGCUUAGAAGCAGCCAUCAUUUAAAGAAAGCGUAAUAGCUCACUGGUCGAGUCGGCCUGCGCGGAAGAUGUAACGGGGCUAAACCAU